UAGGGAAUCUUCCGCAAUGGGCGAAAGCCUGACGGAGCAACGCCGCGUGAGUGAUGAAGGUCUUCGGAUCGUAAAACUCUGUUAUUAGGGAAGAACAAAUGUGUAAGUAACUAUGCACGUCUUGACGGUACCUAAUCAGAAAGCCACGGCUAACUACGUGCCAGCAGCCGCGGUAAUACGUAGGUGGCAAGCGUUAUCCGGAAUUAUUGGGCGUAAAGCGCGCGUAGGCGGUUUUUUAAGUCUGAUGUGAAAGCCCACGGCUCAACCGUGGAGGGUCAUUGGAAACUGGAAAACUUGAGUGCAGAAGAGGAAAGUGGAAUUCCAUGUGUAGCGGUGAAAUGCGCAGAGAUAUGGAGGAACACCAGUGGCGAAGGCGGCUCACUGGCUCGAUACUGACGCUGAGGUGCGAAAGCGUGGGGAGCAAACAGG
rnacentral:rRNA from 1 species